AUUUCUGUUAAAUAGAUCUGCACUGUAGCAGUCUCCCUUCAUAGCCAUAGAAGAGUCUGUUCUUGUUGGCCAAGCUGUCACUCAUUUAAUUGGUAUCAGAUUCUAGCUUUCACAAGUAUCAUUC
ensembl:snoRNA